rnacentral:lncRNA from 1 species
CUUCCUAAAUCAAUCACAGGCGCUUCCUCCUAUUCCGGUGAAGAUUGUCGUCGCUUCUACCACCACCACCGGCGCAUCUUCUUCUCUCCCUCCACCCUCUCUCGUGACCCCAAUCACGCACACACCCAAACGGACACGCCUCACCCUUCUUCCUAAAUCCACCGCCACCGCCCCCUUCAGAUUCUCGGCAAACAGCAGCGGCACGGCUGCUCCGUUGCCCAGAGCCUCCUCACCUUUCGUUCUUUGACUCACAUCCCUCAUCUCUCUAUAAAACCUUAGAUCCCCAAAUCU